rnacentral:miRNA from 1 species
UUGGUCUGACCAGAAAGUUUGUUUGGGUUUUCCUCUAAGGUGUUAGGGGAAAAGCUGAAGAACUUUUGACUAGCUCAAU